AACGGCGAGUGAAGCGGCAAAAGCUCAAAUUUGAUAUCUGGCUCCUUAGGGGUCCGAGUUGUAAUUUGUAGAGGAUGCUUCGGGUGCGGCCACGGCCUAAGUUCCUUGGAACAGGACGUCAUAGAGGGUGAGAAUCCCGUCUUGGGUCGUUGGUCCACGCCCGUGUGAAGCUCCUUCGACGAGUCGAGUUGUUUGGGAAUGCAGCUCUAAGCGGGUGGUAAAUUUCAUCUAAAGCUAAAUAUUGGCCGGAGACCGAUAGCGCACAAGUAGAGUGAUCGAAAGGUUAAAAGCACCUUGAAAAGGGAGUUAAACAGCACGUGAAAUUGUUGAAAGGGAAGCGCUUGCGGCCAGACUCAGGCGCAGGGUUCAGCGGGUGCGUGUCACCCGUGCACUCCCUGCCGCCUGGGCCAGCAUCAGUUCUGACGGCCGGUCAAAGGCCCCCGGAAUGUGUCGUCUCUCGGGACGUCUUAUAGCCGGGGGUGCAAUGCGGCCCGUCGGGACUGAGGAACGCGCUUCGGCUCGGAUGCUGGCAUAAUGGCCGUAAGCGGCCCGUCUUGAAACACGGACCAAGGAGUCUAACAUCCACGCGAGUGUUCGGGUGUCAAACCCGUGCGCGCAGUGAAAGCGAACGGAGGUGGGAGCCUUAGGGCGCACCAUCGACCGAUCCUGAAGUCUUCGGAUGGAUUUGAGUAGGAGCGUGGCCGUUGGGACCCGAAAGAUGGUGAACUAUGCCUGAAUAGGGUGAAGCCAGAGGAAACUCUGGUGGAGGCUCGCAGCGGUUCUGACGUGCAAAUCGAUCGUCAAAUUU
rnacentral:rRNA from 1 species